ensembl:snoRNA
GAGUCUUUAAAGAAAAUCUGCGGCUGCUCAUAGCCAUGGGAUCUCCAACUGCAUGCCAGAGUAACGGAGAGACUUUGACAGCCCAGGUUAUCACAGUGCCUGCUGUUGCCACUCAGCUCUCCUAUAUGU